CCCUUAGAUGUUCGGGGCCGCACGCGCGCUACACUGAAGGACUCAGCGUGUCUCUCCCCCUAUCCCGAAAGGGAUGGGCAACCCGUUGAACCUCCUUCGUGCUAGGGAUUGUGGUUUGCAAUUAUCCCCCAUGAACGAGGAAUUCCCAGUAAGCGCGAGUCAUCAGCUCGCGUUGAUUACGUCCCUGCCCUUUGUACACACCGCCCGUCGCUACUACCGAUUGGAUGGUUUAGUGAGACCCUCGGAUCGGUCCCGACUCGGGGUGGGCUUCUGCCCCGGUCGUGGUUUCGCCGAGAAGACGGUCAAACUUGACUAUCUAGAGGAAGUAAAAGUCGUAACA
rnacentral:rRNA from 1 species